rnacentral:rRNA from 1 species
GACGAACGCUGGCGGCGUGCCUAACACAUGCAAGUCGAACGGAAAGGCCCUGCUUUUGUGGGGUUCUCGAGUGGCGAACGGGUGAGUAACACGUGAGUAACCUUCCCUUGACUUUGGGAUAACUUCAGGCAACUGCGGCUAAUACCGGAUAGGAGCUCCUGCUGCAUGGGGGGGGUUGGAAAGUUUCGGCGGUGGGGGAUGGACUCGCGGGUUAUCAGCUGGUUGGUGGGGUAGUGGCUUACCACGGCUUCGACGGGUAGCCGGCGUGGGAGGGUGACCGGCGACAUUGGGACUGCGGGACGCCGCAGUGUGCUAUGUGGGGCAGCAGUGGGAAAUAUUGCCCAGUGGGCGGAAGCCUGAUGCGGAGGCGCCGCGUGUGGGAUGACGGCCUUCGGGUUGUAAACCGCAUUAGCCUGUGACGAAGCGUGAGUGACGGUAAUGGGUAAAGAAGCACCGGCUAACUACGUG